CUGUAGGAUGACUGGACUGGAGGACUCUUCUGUGCAAGAAGAUGGCACCCCUAAAGAAAGGCCUUACUUCCUUUAGUUCUGGUACUGGGUCCGCAUCUGUGAUGGCUUUCUGAGCAUGACAUUUGGCCUUUGCAGUGAUGGCAAGAUGUCAGCUGUGCUGCCCCUCAUUCUCUACACUUAAGGAGUAGAAGAGCUCUGCAGAGUGCAUCAUUCAAGCUUGUUUGGCAGAGUCUCUGGAUUCUAAGAGGAAGGAUCUGCUGGCCUGAAAAUCUUCCACUGCAGGCUUGCCAAACCUUGCUAAGCUGCAUGUGGCAGCAGCAAGAUUGCAAUCAUACCCCAGCGGCUGGCACGUGGUCCUUCCCGAGGAGAAGGAAGAAGCGCUCAGUUUGACUACAUAUUACGAAACAAGAGGCACUGUAUUCUCCAGAAGGCAAUCCUGGCUUAGUCAUUAAAGGUACGAUGAACCAUUGAAGCAAAGAGAGCAAAGAAAAAUCUUCACUGUUUUUAUCUCCUGCCACCCUCA
rnacentral:lncRNA from 1 species